GUCAUUGUACCAGGAUUGAUGUGCUCGGUGCCCAGAAGGCAGUAAGCUCUGCUCCCUAGCAGCCUUGGAUACGGUUUGCCCUGGCUUGAGGAUGUGUUCUGUGUUGUUUGCUCAUGGCACUGUAGAGGACUGUUCCUCCAAGCACUUCGUUCUCUUCCACAACCCAUCUUGGAACCAGAGAACCAGCAGGACUAAGGAUGGAAUUGAAAAAAGUUGAUGAAUUUAUGUUUCAUCUUCCAUCUCUACUUCUUCUCCUGGAGGUGUGAACGAAUAAUGAAACUGCUAAGGAGAAAGGCAGCAUGAAAGAAGGAGGCUGCACAAUUGGACCUUGCAAAUUCAAGAUCUAGAUCAUUAGCCACAAAUCUGAGUUGGAGGUGCUGAAUAUUCAUUCACACGAUCGUGCUCAUAGCAGCAGCGAGAUUUUUUUUCUUGUCACGAUGAAUAGAGUGUCCUGACACCUUGAGACAUUAGGUGCUUGCAGAACGUAGUGUGAGGUGACAAAGGAAGGGACUUGCCCUUCACCUCCCACACCACUCCAAAAAGCCCUACCAUCGUGCAAAAUUACAUACACAAUCUCAUGCCACAAAAUAUAAACCAACCACUACAUUUAAGAAAUUCGAUUUCUCCCCCUUAACUGUCCCCUGUGCUUUCUGAGCACAUAGCAUAUUUUUCCCUAAUCUUAAAAUUUAGCUUUAAAGUUCACUGUUAAGGAACUAAGCAGUUUUUUAGUCAAGAGAUAUAUGCUGGUUUAAGAUACACAAAAACUUGAACAGUACUUGAGAUCUUUUGAGAGGAAUGAGCAAGAAAUCAGAUAUUUGCCUUUUCAUCUUCUGUAGACUCAUACAGCAUCUUCUACAUAGCUAGGGACUCAAGAAUGUUGAAUCUCCAAGCUAAAGCAUCUAUCAAAUGUUAUUUACAUAAAUAGAGCAUAUGGAGGGAAGCAAAAAAGUAGAGGGGUAUUCAGAGAGGUGAUAGCUCUGGAAAGGAAGAAUAAAAAAUUUCCAAGGAGGCAACAAUUCCUACUGUCUGCCAGUCUGUCCAGGAGAUUCACUAGACUGGCCACUCCAGUUCUCCCCAGUUCGGUUGUGCUCCAGGGAAGACAGUGUUAGAGGACAAGAAGCAGGCUGGAAAGAAAGUAGAAUAAUGCCCUUAGACUGCAUGGAAUCUCAAACAAGUUUUACUUUUGUGCUAUGUAUAUAAGGAGAUCUAUUUUCUUUCUCACUGAGGUCGUAUCAGUAGAUAAACUGCGAUCUCUGUGGAAAUCUUUUUCCUUAUUUUUAAAGGUUACUACUCAUUUUUUUUUUAUUCAAAGAAGCUGUUCUGAAUAAAGUUACUCAAUACAGUUGGAAAAACUGUCA
rnacentral:sRNA from 1 species